GGAGCACACAUGGUGCAGCCUCGGCAGUGGGUUUUGCACCAGGGCCCGCAGUGCCCUAGGGUCCGUGCCCGGCGGGAAGUCAGGAUUAUGUGUGAGGGGAAGCAAUGGGGACGGGUGUGUGGAGAGCGCGUGUCUACCGGCAUUGCCUCGCCAUAUCCUCAGAGUCACUUUCGUAUAUGGGGAGUAAUGCGUUUCCCUUCCGUCCGUCCCCGCGGGGAGCCACGGGAUAAGGGCGGCUGGGAGCUUAGCUAUCCCCUCCUCUACCUGUUUCCAUAGUUUGCUGACCCCAGUCUUGGACCACUCCGCAACACGUUGCAGGUGGCAUGCCUUGUAGUAUAGUCGGAAGUCCGGUAGAGCCAGACCCCCUCUGUGCUUGGGUUGAGUUAGCUGUGCGUAUUUCAGUCUGGGUCUCCUCCCAUCCCAAACAAAAGCCCCUAGAGCCUGCCGGAGCGUGGCGAAAAAAGAGGAUGGGAUUGUGAUGGGCAGGGCCUGGAAGAGGUAGAGUAGUCUC